CCCGUAACAUGAGUGUAACACGUCCGUGGCUGCCGUGUGCUGAGCUGAGGUCAUGCAGAAGCUGAGACAGUGCCUGGGUGCAAACACACAAAUGACCUAAACAGACAGCCAGGAUUUGGUCACUAGGCGAGUGAACAAAGUCUGCACACCAGCUCCUUCCCUCUCAGGAGGCAGAAGCUGCAGAGCUGACGGCGGCUUAAUCCCGCACAGUCUGCCACCUCGUCUUCUGCAAGGCUCUGUCCAGGAGACCUCAGUUCCAAGAAUAACAGGAGGGAGGGGAAGGGUGUCGGCGUCUUUCCAGAACCUGCUAGCAGGCUGCAGACAGAAUUCUGACACAUGGAGACACCCGUUAGCAGAGCCCAGACAGCUUCGGGAUGUUUCCUGCUUGAAUUCCCAGCCUGCCGUUUCCUUCUCUGUGUGUCUGGCCCGUGUCGGGAAUGUACUCAGCAAGCAGGCACUGGGGUCAGGCGCUCAGGCGAGACACGACCAAGCGGUGCGAUGGCUUCAGUCUUCCAGGGCUGUGUCCAGAAACUGACAGCAUCCAUCUAUGCAACCGAGGGCUCUCUGAGCUCGGGUAAAUGCAGUAAGGCAGAGGAACAUUUUGUCAGCAGCGUGCCCAGCCAGAACACUGCAGGAAGGCAUUUUAGGCUGUGAUGAAGUCUGUGGUCUUUACCCAGGUGAGUGUCCCUGGGUAAAUUGUGCGUCAGUUUCUCUUGCAUCAGGAAAUAUUUGAAACAAGCAGGGCGUCCACGUCAAUUUCCAAAAGAAAAUUCUUAAUUAAAGAAAUAGCAUUUUGUUGCUUUUUCUCUUUAGCAGCAGUGGAAUGAACUGACUGAGAUCACUUCAUUUG